UCUAGGUUUCCUCCAGACAGGAAAAGAGGGUUUUAAAAAGUUAGGGGGUGGGGGUGGGGCGCUCUACGCUUGGCUGGGGUGGGAGUGAAAGCCCCCCCCCCCCCCAGCCAGAGGCAGCGUUUGCUACAGUGCUCGGGCUUCUGGGAAGGGGAGGCUUUCUUCACCUCCUUCCUGUCGGCCUUCAGUCAGCUGCCUUUUCAGGAAACUGGCCCUGACUAAGUCAUUCAGAACUUCUCUGGAUUUAACCCUCCGGCUUCCAGCAGAAGUGUUUGCUUGUGAAAUCACGUCUCUCACCUCAGAAGUUAAAAGAGAACAUCCAUCCUUGAGUCGUCCAAGUCCACCACUAUAUUUUAAGUGCUAGCUGCAAGCAAAGCACGCUGGAAAUUGGAGAGGCGGUCCAUGCCUGUGAUCCCAGAAUUUGGGAGAACGGGAGUGGAGUGUUAAUGGUGGUCGGUCAGGUCUGGAUUGGGUGUGUUUCCAGUAUCAUGACAUCUUGUUCAUAUAACUGAAAUAAAGGCGAGCAUUUACUUCA